ensembl:snoRNA
UAAUUAAAAUCACUCAUCAUGAGGGCAAGGUUUUUAAACUGAUCUUUAUCAAUUCGGGCUAUUUAGGAGAAUAAAGAAAAGACCACACUCUACAAUGGGCUAUACCACUUAGUAUAGAUCACUACUGCUUUAUGACUUAUGUU